GAAAUAUCCCCCUUUCACAAAUGAAGAAACUUAGGCCCAGAGAGGUGAAGUAACUUGCCUGAGGACACUCAGCUAUUCAGUGGUGUCCGCUGGAAUCCAUCAGAGACUGAGCUCACCUGCCAAACCACCUCGACUCUGGCUGCGGACUGAACUGAGGCCUGGCGUGCAGGUGAGCUCUCCACCGCCGAAUGCCCCAGCCCCUGGUACUCAGCGUUUAUAAAUCAACGAGGCCACCGAGACCCAGCUGCACAGUUUUCAGGCUCUACUAGGAGGUGAAGGUGGAGCCCUGGUUUGAAAAUUGGGCAGCGCCUUCAACCAAGCACAGGCCACAGUGGGCCUGGGCCCCCCGUGACCACACCUGCCACACAGCUGUGAGGCUGGCCCUGAAGCAGGCGUGAGUGGGGACGUGGCCUCCAGGACCUCUCCAUGGGGACUCAGUGCACUUUUCUGGUUUCACAGACGAGAAAAGCCUGUGUGUGUGGCGGGGUGCAGAGCAGGGAAGGAGUCGAGUGUCCCAUCUUGGGGGUUCUGUUCCCAUCCCACCCGGAUACGCCCUGUGCGUGCCCCGGGUUCCCCUGCGCCUCCUGGGGCUGUGCCUGUCUUGGGGACUGUCUUGGGGAGUCAUGGAGAGGCGCAGUGAGGAACGUUCCCUGGCGUCUGCACACUGGGAAGAGACGUGAAGCACGCUCCCCUCCUCACACUUCCUGGUGGUGUGACCUGGGACCUGUCACAUCACCUCUUCAAGCUUCUUUUCUUCUGUAAAAUGGGGGCAGCCAACCCAGCUUCAGAGGCGGGCGGGAGAGCUGGACAGAGUGACACCGAGGAGCACAUCUCACGGUCGAGGCUGCGGCUGUCUGGAGCUCCCCGCCUCUGCUGGCGGGCUCUGCGGAGCGGCUGGCAGCCUGUGCUGGGCCACCCCUCGGAAGUGCAAGUCACGCUGCCAGCCUCCGGGAGAUCCAGCUGGAGGGCAGGCCGCGCCUGAAUGUCACCGGAGCACAGGAAGCCGCCUGCAGGCUCCCACCCCUGCCUUCCUCCCGGUGGUGUCUACCUGUCCUCACCGACGUCUUCAGCUGCCUGCUGUGCUCUGGGCAGUGUAUGAAAGACUCUCCAGGCAUCACCUCCCAGGCAUCAAGUCCCCGCUUCAUAAGGAAGAAACAGGUUCCAAAAUUUGAGUGACUUUGAGCCCGUGCCAUGGCUCAUGCCUAUAAUCCCAGCUUCUCUGAAGGCAGAGGCAGGAGGAUCGUGAGUUCAAAGCCAGCCUCGGCAACUCAGUGAGGCCCUGUCUUUAAAAUAAAAUACAUUUUUUUAAAAAAGGGCUGGGGGUGUUGCUCAGUGGUUAAGCACCCCCCCCUCCCCUCGGGUUCAAUUCCUCAUAUUAAAACAAAAAUGCUUUUUUGAAUGAUUUUGCCUUGUAGUUACUAAAUUAAACAGCAAGUCUGAAUCCAAA